rnacentral:rRNA from 1 species
CAGUAGCCGCGGUAAUACGUAGGGUGCAAGCGUUAAUCGGAAUUACUGGGCGUAAAGCGUGCGCAGGCGGUUCGGAAAGAAAGAUGUGAAAUCCCAGAGCUUAACUUUGGAACUGCAUUUUUAACUACCGGGCUAGAGUGUGUCAGAGGGAGGUGGAAUUCCGCGUGUAGCAGUGAAAUGCGUAGAUAUGCGGAGGAACACCGAUGGCGAAGGCAGCCUCCUGGGAUAACACUGACGCUCAUGCACGAAAGCGUGGGGAGCAAACAGGAUUAGAUACCCGCGUAGUCCCUGUCUCUUAUAC